GUGCCCGGGGGCCCCCGGCAGCCCGACCUCCGGGGUGGGACGGCCGGAGCGCGGCGGGGUGCCCAGCGAGCGCCCCGAGGCUCCGGCUCCCGUCGCUGCGUGCGGAGCCCGGCCCAGCAACCAUGGCCCAUUACAAGGUGGAGCAGGACGACUGGCUAAUCGUCUACCUGAAGUAUUUACUCUUCGUCUUUAACUUCUUCUUCUGGGUGGGCGGGGCCACCGUCCUGGCCGUGGGCGUCUGGACCCUGGUGGAGAAGAGCGGCUACCUCAGCAUCCUGGCCUCCAGCACCUUCGCUGCAUCCGCCUACAUCCUCAUCUUCGCGGGGGCUCUUGUCAUGGUGACCGGCUUCCUGGGCUUCGGCGCCAUCAUCCGGGAAGAUAGGAGCUGCCUCUCCACGUAUUUCUGCCUGUUGCUGGUGAUCUUCCUGGUUGAGCUGGUGGCGGGGGUCCUGGCGCACAUGUACUACCAGAGGCUCAGCGAGGAACUGAAGCAGCACUUGACCCGGACCCUGGCUGAGAACUACAGGCAGCCCGGAGCUGUGGACAUCACCUUGUCGGUGGACCGCCUCCAGCAGGACUUCAAGUGCUGCGGGAGUAACAGCUCUGCCGACUGGCAGCACAGCGCGUACAUCCUGUCUCAGGAGGCCGAGGGCCGCCGGGUGCCAGACAGCUGCUGCAAGACGGUGGUGGUGCGCUGUGGCCAGCGGGUCCAUCCCUCCAACAUCUACAAGGUGGAGGGAGGCUGCAUCACCAAGCUGGAGCAGUUCUUGGCUGACCACCUACUGCUCAUGGGGGCGGUGGGCAUCGGGGUGGCCUGUCUGCAGAAAAGAUGAAGGAAAAUGCCUGGGGGCCCUGGGGCCCAACUUGAGGAGUGUGAGUGUGAGCUCAGAUCUGUGGGAUGGUUCUCACCUGUUGCCUGCACCGGAGGCUCCAGCUGCAUUUUUACUAAUGGCCAACUGCCCCUCGCAAGGACAGGUGCCCACAUCCCAUCUUCCAGGCCUGCAGAGUCAGCACCAGCUUGCCUAGAAACUCCCUCUACUGUGUGCCUAGCCCCUUCGGACCCACCAAGUGCCCAAGACCAUGGCUCCUGUGGCUCCCACCCAGGCCGGGGGCCCUCAGCCCCCUCUCUCCACUACCAAGUGCUCACUGCCAGGAUCCCUGGGCACAGGAUGCAUCCUGCCAGGAAACAGCCACCAGCACCCCUCACCAGCAGUGGGGUCCCGUGGACUGCAGGGGGUGGUGAGAAUCACACCCUUUGCUCCCUCCCAGCUCCAAAAGCUAGAAUGAAGGUCUAAAAACUCUGGCCCCUCUGGGACUCCCCACUGGGGCACAUCAUCUCCCCACUGGUGCUGAGCACCCCUCGUCUUGUCUCUGCUUGGGGUGGGGCAGUCAGGGUGGGCUCUGCCCCCAGAAGCCCCAGCCUUUGAUACACCGACCCACCCCUGUCACCUGGAAGAUAGCGCCCUGUUGGCCUGGUUCCUUCUCACAGGGCCUGGCAGUGGAGAGGCCUGGGGUGAGACCCCAGAAACUGGGCUUAGGCACCACCAGGGCGAGGAGCAGGGCAGGUAAGGUCACAGGCAAAUGCUGCCCCAGGACCCUGUGCACUGCCCAGAAGCCAUCCCUGGGAGAGAUCCCCCAGAACACUAUGGCUUGUGCCCCCCCCCUCUGUAGUAACUAGGCCCUGCAGGGAUCUCCUAUGGCCUGAUUCUCAGGAAUGCCAGGUUUUUAAAUGAUCUCCAGCUCUUCGUGUGGGUGGGAGUGAAAAGUCCUUCCUGGGUAGACCAAGUCACAGGCCCUGCAAUAUGGGGGCCACUGAGAAGGCUCAAUGCUGAGUAGAGGGGUGCUCCGCCCUGGGCCUUGCUUUUCCUGGGCCCACAGUCCCAGACUCCAUGACCACCACCGUGCCCCUCCCAGAGCCCUUGCUCUGCUCCCCAGAGUGAAUCCAGUCCCCUCCUUUGGUUCUCUCUUGCUUCUCUGAAUCAGGCAGGGAAUUUUCAGGAACCAUUUUCUUAAAUACUAAGAUAGAACGGAACAACAACAACAAAACCCUGGAAAAGGCAGAGUAGAGACGCUGGCAGUUUUCCAAAGAACAGGUGUCAACUUGGGAGUCAGCCACAGGGACCCUCUCCAAGUAACUGUCACAAGUGGGUAGCUCAUAGUCCCGGAAUCCCGCACCUAGCUCCUAUACCUUCCAGGUCCUAAGCUUCCGGGGCUGGGGACCCACCAUGAGGGAGCGACCCCUUGUUGCCAACAUCAAGGCCAGGAAAGGUCACCCCUUGCCUCUAACUCAUGGCAAGCCCCAGGGUGAUGAGCGCAGCUCUUGGUAACCUGGGCCAGUCCUGGGUGAAGGCUGUGCUCUCUUCCGUACACAGGUCACUGCUGUCCCCAGACACUGCCCUACAUGUAUAGAAAUUGUAUGCCCUCCGAAUGCAGAUUACUCACAUGCACAGGAAAGACCAGCUUCCCUGGGCAGAUUGCUCCUCUACCCCGGAGAUCCCCUGGGGGCUGUCGGAACCCUGGCUGGCUCAGCAACUCUGCCCCCCAGGGCCCUGGGGUUGCGAUUGCAAAUCCAUUAACAGGGAAACCAGCUUUCUGGUAAUCCCGGACUGUGCCAAGGCCGAGAAAAAGGGUGCUGGGACUAUCUUUGCUGCCUUCCAAUUCUCUGGGACUCGUGCAGCCGAGAAAUAACUACCUCCCAAGCUCUCGGCAAGGCCAGGUCACAGACUGACAGGUCUUACCAAGUGAGGCCUGAAAGAGAGCUGUGUUCUUCCAGUGGAGGGGCCCGUGGGUGGUGGUGAUGCCAGGGGAAGGGCUGUGUCCUGUGGCCCCUGCUGGAGCCACUGCCCUCUUUACUGAGGUCAGUGGGGCUUGUGGAGGUGGGACAGGGUGAUAGGCAGGUAGCACUGGCCCCAGCCCCCCGUGUUGGGUUAGGCCAUCCUGGCUGAAGGCAGGAUUGGCUGCGAGCAAAAGGCUCCUGCACACCGGCCCACCCAGACCAAGGAUGGAUGGCCCAAGCUACAGAGAUGGAACAACGCAGAGCUUUAGGGAACGGUGACCUGCUCAUUGGUGCCCACAGCCCGGGAGGUGAGGCAAGGGCAGAGGAGAUGGAGGCCCAGGUUACAGCAGGCUCUGGCUCAGGACACAGAGGGCUGGAGUCUGGAGCCAAGGAUGUGCCCACCCUGCCUGAGAGCAUGCGGAUCUGCACCCAGGGCACUGCUUGGACGUCAUGGUCAUGAAUUCCUCGGAUAGAGAAGGGCAUGCCUGUGGACAGCUGUCAUCAGCCGUGUGCAAGCAAAAGGCCCCCGACACGCUGGGACCCAGGAAGGAAGGCAGCAUUCUGUACAGGUCGGGCCACAGCAGAUGCUGCUGGUCACCGGGGGCCUACCGUGAGCUUUGAAUGUGUGAGUCACGUACAUGCUCUCCCGUGGCGAUCGCAACAAGAAGGUACUGGUCCCCCCUCUACAGGUGACAAAUCAAGGCUCAGAGCAAUUAAGACACCUGCCAGGCGGUAGCAGCUGAUGGAAGCCAGGGAAGCUGGGCUGGGAGCCCCUGCUCCUCGGCAUCCUGUGGCUCUCCAUCUCUGCAGGAAGCCAUCUGGCUGACAUUCUGACAUUCGGAAACACCGGGUCCCCCAGGGGGCACUCUCUGUCCAAUAGCAGCGGCCUGGCCCCCCUUCCCAGAUCGGACGGAACCAUCCAUCUGGCCCCACCGCCAGCGCGCCCCGCACACCUGCAGAGCGGCCUGGCUCCUUUCCCGAUUGACAGCCGGGGCCUCCUGGUGGACUGGCUCAGGCAGCACGUGGGGGCCCUGGGGACCAUGCUCGGGGGAAUUGCCAGCCUGUCACCUCGGGUGCCAGUGUUGACACCAAGGAAGAGCACACCAGACCUCAGCAAUCAGAACCUGCCCAUGGCGUGUGGGAUCUCGUGCCCAUGCAGAGAUCAUAUCUAGGGGCCCAGAGGGCUGGGAGGGCUGCCCCCUGCUGGGAGCCGGGGGGGGUGUCUCAGGUCACAGGCACUCAGAGCCACCCCGGGGGCCCAUGUUAACCACCUUCAGCUAGCUUUCCCUCGCUGUACUGCUGGAGGGUGGCACAGUGCAGCCUCUGUCUCACAGAGCUGAUGGCCUGGAAUUUCAGCAGGCUGCUCAGCCUGGGCACAGCCACAGACACUCAGGCUUGGCAGGGCCAGGACAGCCCCGGGGUGGGUGGGGGAAUCCUUGUGCACUGCAGCCACUCCGGUCCGUCCCUGGGUUUGGAGGUAGAGGAAGCAAACUGAAACAUGUUCAUCGCCACCCACCCCAAUUUCCACCUGGCAAAUAUUCUCUACUUUCUGGCUACUUUGGGCCUGGGGAGAGUGGGGGAGGCAUAGGGGAAAGUGGUUGACGAGCUAAGGAGAAAACGCAUCUUCUGUCACUGCUGGGUGGCACUCACAUCGCCCAGGAUGCUAGUGAUGUGUCUGAACCAGAAGUUCUCAAACUUGAGGAUGCAUCAGGUCACCUGGAGACUGCUAAGUGUCACCCCAGAGCUUCAAAUUUGCAGGGGUAGCAUGGAGAGUGAGCAUUUCUAACAAGUUCCUGGAUGAUGUUGGGGCUCCUGGCCCCGGACCCACCCUUUGAGAACCGCUGCUUUAGAGCUCCCCACAAAGGACAUUUGCCACCUUCCUUUGUAUGAGCAUCACCCUAAGCAUCCCAGAAUCCCUCGGGAGGUCUAGCAGGGCCCAGCCCACUGGCCACGCGAGGAUGGGGUGAGGCAUUGCAGUGGGCCCCGAACGCGCCCUCCUGCAGUGCGUUCUUGCAGCACCUGCUCUGCCCUCUGUGACCAUGGCUGGGAGACCAGGUGCCUGCGUGCUCUUCCUGGAAGGGCACAGAUUAGGUCCCCAGCCCCAUUCUCCCACCACCCUCCUGUGUGCUUUGGGAGAGUCCAGCUCCAUUCUCAUCACCCCCACUUUCUGGUUUAGCACAAUGCCCCCCACCCUGUCUGUACCCCCAGCCUCUCACGUGCCCCUUCCCUUCCUGCUUUGGCCCCAGAGACACCCUGUGCAAGUGCCACUAGGAAUUCCAGGCAGCCCAGUAGAAGGUCAAGGGGGCUUCUGGAACCAGCUGGCCUUUGGAUACGGUUGUCCCAAUAUUCUAGAGACUGAGAAGUUGCCUUAACUUACUGCAUAUAGAGAAGUCACUGUAGUUGUAAACACACCUCUCCACUUCGCUGGCCUCAGUGCCUGCCUGGCCUCACCUGCUGGGUGGCAUGAUAAUAAAGGAAUUGUAUCUAGGA